GAUGAAGAAACGUAGCGAAAUGCGAUACUUGGUGUGAAUUGCAGAAUCCCGUGAACCAUCGAGUCUUUGAACGCAAGUUGCGCCCGAAGCCACUAGGCCGAGGGCACGCCUGCCUGGGCGUCACACGCCGUUGCCCCCCCAUCUACUCCUUCGGGAUUGCGGGGGGGCGGAUGAUGGCCUCCCGUGCGCCUAGCCGCGCGGUUGGCAUAAAUACCAAGUCCUCGGCGACGCACGCCACGACAAUCGGUGGUUGCGAAACCUCGGUUGCCCGUCGUGUGCGUUCGUCGCGCAUCGAGGGCUCGAAAAAAUGCUCGGCUCCGGCUGGGCUUUCAACGCGACCCCAGGUCAGGCGGGGUUACCCGCUGAAUUUAAGCAUAUCAAUAAGCGGAGGA
rnacentral:misc_RNA from 1 species